CACAGGGGUAUGACUCCAGGAAUAUCAAGACACUCAACGUGUGAACAGGCGAGAAGAAGAACUCAGCUAAGAAGCUUCAGCAACCUGAUUAUUUCAUUUUGCCUCCUACUGCACCAGGACUAAUCAUGAGCAAGAAUCCGAGUAGUAAACUGAGCAAAAAUGAUAAAUAUGAAGAAAAUGAGAAAGUGUCAGAAACGAGAGCUGCUACUACAGAAGCGGCUCCUGGGGCUCCUGGGGCCGUGUUUCAGGCACCAGGGAAUCUUUACUCAGCCAUUCUGAGCCGCAACGAAGCCGUCAAAGAUGCCAAGAGACUGAAGGACUUCCUGGAGCUCAGAGAUAAAUACGUGCGCAAGAAGGUGUUGUUUAAAGAUCCACUGUUCCCUGCAGAUGACUCGUCUCUUUACUACAGUCAGAAGUUCCCUCUGAAUCUGGUGUGGAAGCGUCCCUCGGAAAUUUGUGACAAUCCACAGUUCAUUGUCGGAGGCGCAAACAGGACGGAUAUUUGCCAGGGAGACUUGGGCGAUUGCUGGCUCCUGGCUGCAAUUGCCUGUCUGACCCUGAAUGAAAACCUUCGGUAUCGAGUUGUCCCACCAGACCAGAGCUUCACUGAGAACUAUGCUGGCAUUUUCCAUUUCCAGUUCUGGCGCUAUGGUGAGUGGGUGGACGUCCUUGUGGAUGAUAGACUUCCCACACAUAAAAAUCGUUUGGUGUUUACUCGGUCUGGGAAUAAAAAUGAGUUCUGGAGUGCGCUUCUGGAGAAAGCUUAUGCCAAGCUCCACGGCUCCUAUGAGGCUCUAAAAGGUGGAAAUACAUUGGAGGCCAUGGAAGACUUCACCGGAGGAGUAACAGAAUAUUAUGAGAUUACAGAUGCACCAAAAGAAAUAUACAACAUCAUGAGAAAGGCCUUGGAAAGAGGUUCUCUUAUGGGUUGCUCUAUAGAUGCUUUGGUACCAACUGCUAGUGAGACCAAAACAUCUACGGGUCUAAUGAGAGGCCAUGCUUACUCAGUUACUGGUGUUGAGCAGGGUAAACAGCAGGACGGCAGGGAUACUCGUAUCCGCCUGGUCCGUGUCCGUGACCCAUGGGGUGUUGCUCCUCCACCAUCUUGCAAGUCUAACGACUGGACAAAACUUGCGACUUCUGAGCAAGAAAAACAGAAACUUCAGCCUGUUGGGCAAGGAGAGUUUUGGAUGUAUUUUGAAGAGUUCCAGAAAACCUUCACCAAGCUUGAGAUCUGUAAUCUGACUCCUGACACGCUGCAGGAUGACCAACUGCUCAAAUGGACUGUAUCUGUGAACGAGGGCCGCUGGGUGAGAGGCUGCUCUGCGGGCGGCUGCAGGAAUUACCCAGACACCUUUUGGACAAACCCUCAGUAUCGGCUGCGUCUCACCGAGGAGGACGACGAGGAGCAGGAUGACGGGAAAAAGGGCUGCACCGUGGUGGUGGCACUCAUGCAAAAGGGCAGGAGGAGAGAGAGUCACUCAGGAGCCAUGCUGCACGCCAUCGGCUUCGCCAUCUACGAGGUUCCGAAGGAGAUGCACGGCAACAAGCAGCACCUUCCCAAAGACUUCUUCCUGUACAACGCUUCCAAGGCUCGCUGCAAAUCCUACAUCAACCUGCGGGAGGUGACGGAGCGUUUCUGUCUGCGUCCCGGAGAGUACGCCAUCAUCCCGUCCACCUUCGAACCUCACAAAGAGUCCGACUUUCUUCUCAGGGUUUUCUCUGAGAAGAAGAGCACAUCGGAGCUGAUGGGUGCAGUGAUCGAGGCGGAGCCGUGUUUGUUGGAAAAUGAAAAGAAGAAAAUAAAGCUCAUCGAGGAUGACGAGACAGAGGAGGAGAAACAGUUCCGGGCCAUUUUUCAGCAGAUUUCUGGAGAUGACAUGCAGAUCAACGCCAAAGAGCUGAUAAUUGUCCUCAACAAAGCAGUGAGCCAACAGAAACAGCUGAAAGCCCAAGGAUUCAGUCUGGACAGCUGCAGAAGCAUGAUAGCGCUCAUGGAUACUGACGGAUCGGGAAGAUUAAACCUGCAGGAGUUCAAGCACCUGUGGAACAAAAUCAAAUGGUGGAAGACAAUCUUCACUCGCUAUGACACAGACAAAAGCGGCACCAUUAGCAGCUUUGAGAUGAGAAACGCUGUUGCUGACGCAGGUUUUCAGCUCAACCCUCAGAUUCAUGAAAUCAUUGCAAUGCGAUACGCCAACGAGCACUUGUAUUUGGAUUUUGACAGCUACAUUUGCUGUUUAGUGCGACUCGAGGGAAUGUUAAGAGCUUUCAAAGCCUUCGACAAUGAUGGAGAUGGUCUCAUCAAGCUCAAUGUCCUCGAGUGGCUUCAACUCACCAUGUACGCGUAGAGAUCAGGACAAACCUCGUCACAUGGACUGUGAUACAUUUGUUUACUCCUGGAACAGUGUCAAUAAGACCAGCUGCUGACGACGUGUCGAGGCUCAAGUUCACCAAAAAAUGUUUUUUUUUUCCCCUGAAAUUCUGAAUGCAGCAAAUAAAACUGUCAAAUCUUUACUAC